GUUACAAACCGGGUUAUCGCGUCUCGUUAAUAGCGGGAGGAGGAAAGUCCGGACAGCAUAGGGCAAUGUACCGGUGAACAGCCGGCUGCCGUUUAACGGUAAGAGAUAGUGCCACAGAAAAUUACCGUCCCUUUGGGGAUAAGGGUGAAAAUGUGAGGUAAGAGCUCACAGUAUUGACAAGUAAUUGUUUUUACGGGUAAACCUUGCAUGCUGAAAUGCCACAUAGGCUUCGAUUGUUAUGGCCGGGUUUCCGGCUCUGACAGCUAAGCGGCCCGCUUAGUUCAUUUUUGUGAAUCGGGGUGGGUAGGCAGAUUGAUCCCUGCAAGUAAUUGCCGGGACAGAUAAAUGAUAACCACCAUGCUUAUGCGUGGUACAGAAUCCGGCUUACAGGUUUGUAACAUUU
rnacentral:RNase_P_RNA from 1 species